UGCAUUUUCUUUGGUUUCAUCUCUGAUCCUGCUUUGCUCUCCAGCACUAAACAAAACACCAGUGGUCUAAUACAGUUGUUUCUCACUGCACCAAGUCAAAAUCAGCAAGCAUUCCUAGAUAAUACUUACUGUCACUUGGCUCAUGGUGGCCUGCUGUUUUGUCACCUCCUGGUCUUGGAUCCCACAGAGGAAUAAGGGCAGUAUAGAACUUGUAGCUCUAUAAAAAGUGUCAUCUUAAUAUCAGAGGAGGAGCUAGCCAUAAGGGCUUGGCUUCACAAAUGUAAAUAUUUCAUAAUUUAUUUAGUAAUGUGGCUUUUCUUUUUCCCCCAGGCAAAAGCUUUAAUAAAGGAAUAGGUCUACUGCAACAAAGGAAAUAACAGCAAAAAUGGAGACAAGGACACAUCCUAACCCCAUUAAUAUCAGUCGGAAUUUGCCUUCAUCUUCAGUGGGAGCAGAACUUCAAAGACCCGGGAAUCACCCAUAAAACCUGAAGGAUAAAAUCUGAACCUUCCGUCAUCUAUGACGCAAAUCGUGUUUAGAGGAUGGCAGUGUAGUCGCGACACAGUGGAAAUGUCCCCAGCAGGAGUUUCACAUCUUUGGCUUGACCACAGCCUUGUCCCCAGCGCUGCCAGAGUGGCUGUUAGUGUGUGGGCAGUUUCUUUGCCAGAAGAACCUCUCUGAGGCAGGACCAUGCAGGAGCCGGGCAAAGAUGAACCUUCUCUUGAUUUUCUAAGCUUGAGAGACCAGUUUUCAAAAGCUCUCUAGCAAAGCUAUUAUGUUACCAGUAUUACUCCAUCAGAAGAAACUGUUAAAGGAUCAUCAGAAAUACUGAGGGCAUAAUAGGAUGAAAGAUCGUGAGCCCAAAGUAAAGCAAAUCAUUGUGUCACCAAAAAGACGGACUUCUUCCUCAUGGACUGCUCUCCACGCAAAGCUGGACGGGUGCCCAGAGAAACAACAG